CGACAUCAGAACAUCUCUCGUCAAAUCCAUUCGCUUCCAAAGAGACCUCAUCCUAUUGUUUCCCAGGGGAGACCUUGAAAAUUUACCUACCCCGCCCCCGCCGCCAAGGACCAUGGGAUAGAGAAUCCAUGGUUCUUAAUGCUAUUUGUCUUGGUUUGGGUUCUCUGGAAACAAACCACGAGACAAGGAUUCUAAUGCAACCUAGGAGAUUGAUGUCAAAAUCAAGUUCCCCUUACCAUAACCUCAAAAUGUGGAAAACAAAAAAGCAAUUGAUAUUAG